CCUACGGGGGGCUGCAGUGGGGAAUAUUGGACAAUGGGGGCAACCCUGAUCCAGCCAUGCCGCGUGUGUGAAGAAGGCCCUCGGGUUGUAAAGCACUUUCAGUGAGGAAGAACGCCUGGUGGUUAAUACCCAUCAGGAAAGACAUCACUCACAGAAGAAGCACCGGCUAACUCCGUGCCAGCAGCCGCGGUAAUACGGAGGGUGCGAGCGUUAAUCGGAAUUACUGGGCGUAAAGCGCGCGUAGGUGGCUUGAUAAGCCGGUUGUGAAAGCCCCGGGCUCAACCUGGGAACGGCAUCCGGAACUGUCAAGCUAGAGUGCAGGAGAGGAAGGUAGAAUUCCCGGUGUAGCGGUGAAAUGCGUAGAGAUCGGGAGGAAUACCAGUGGCGAAGGAGGCCUUCUGGACUGACACUGACACUGAGGUGCGAAAGCGUGGGUAGCAAACAGGAUUAGAUACCCCGGUAGUC
rnacentral:rRNA from 1 species